rnacentral:rRNA from 1 species
UAUGAACGCUAGCGGCAGGCCUAACACAUGCAAGCCGAACGGCAAGUUUGAUAGCAUUCUUGGACCUAGAGUGGCGCAAGGAUGCGUAACACGUAUGCAACCUACCCGCCACAGGAUGAUAGCUACCCGAAAGGGAAAUUAACUCUCCAUAACACCAUGAUACGUCCUCUAUUUAUGGUUAAACCGCAAGGGGCCGCGGAUGGGCAUGCGGUUGAUUUGCUCGUUGGCGGGGUAAAGGCCCACCAGGGCGGUGAUCAAUAGGGGUCCUGAGAGGAGGGUCCCCCACACGGGCGUUGGGCUACGGGCAAGACUCCUACGGAGGGAAGCAGUAGGGAAUAUGGGACAAUGGGUGAAAGAUUGAGCCAGCCAGGCCGCGGGGAGGAAGAAGGCCUUCGGGGUCGAAAACUGCUUUUUCGUGUGGAUAGAAUACACGUGGGCGGGGAAUUGAAGGUAGCUGGAUAAUAAGCCACGGCUAACUACGUG